CCUACGGGUGGCAGCAGUGGGGAAUAUUGGGCAAUGGGCGAAAGCCUGAUCCAGCAACGCCGCGUGAAGGAAGAAGGCCUUCGGGUUGUAAACCUCUAUCGACAGGGAAGAGCAGAACGCUGUAUCUGUCGAAUAAGCCACGGCUCACCAUGUGCCAGCAGCCGCUGUUAUACGUAGGGGGCAAGCGUUGCCCGGAUUUACUGGGUGUAAAGGGCGUGUAGCCGGGCUGACAAGUGAGGUGUGAAACCCGGGGGCUCAACCCCGGAACUGCAUUGGAAACUGUUGGGCUGGAGUGUCGGAGGGGCAGGCGGAAUUCCUAGUGUAGCGGUGAAAUGCGUAGAUAUUAGGAGGAACACCAGUGGCGAAGGCGGCCUGCUGGACGGCAACUGACGGUGAGGCGCGAAAGCGUGGGGAGCAAACAGGAUUAGAUACCCCUGUAGUC
rnacentral:rRNA from 1 species